rnacentral:rRNA from 1 species
GAUGAACGCUAGCGGCAGGCUUAAUACAUGCAAGUCGUGGGGCAGCAGGUUUGUAGCAAUACAGAUGCUGGCGACCGGCAAACGGGUGCGGAACACGUACAGAACCUUCCUUUGAGCGGGGAAUAGCCCAGAGAAAUUUGGAUUAAUACCCCAUAGUAUAAUGAAGUGGCAUCACUUUAUUAUUAAAGAUUUAUCACUCGAAGAUGGCUGUGCGGCUGAUUAGGUAGUUGGCGGGGUAAAGGCCACCAAGCCUGCGAUCAGUAACUGGUGUGAGAGCACGACCAGUCACACGGGCACUGCGACACGGGCCCGACUCCUACGGGAGGCAGCAGUAAGGAAUAUUGGUCAAUGGAGGCAACUCUGAACCAGCCAUGCCGCGUGGAGGAUGAAGGUCCUCUGGAUUGUAAACUUCUUUUAUAUGGGACGAAAAAAGGCUUUCUAAGUCGUCUGACGGUACCAUAUGAAUAAGCACCGGCUAACUCCGUGCCAGCAGCCGCGGUAAUCG